rnacentral:rRNA from 1 species
AACGGCUGGCGGCGUGCUUAACACAUGCAAGUCGAACGCGAAAGGGACUUCGGCCUGAGUAAAGUGGCGCACGGGUGAGUAACGCGUAGAUAACCUGUCUUCAUGUCUGGAAUAAUACGCCGAAAGGGGUACUAAUACCGGAUAUUCUUGCUUUUCAUAAGUUAUGCAAGCAAAGGUGGCCUCUGCAUAUGCUACUGCAUGAAGAGGGGUCUGCGUACCAUUAGCUAGUAGGUGGGGUAAUGGCCUACCUAGGCGACGAUGGUUAGCGGGUCUGAGAGGAUGAUCCGCCACACUGGCACUGGAACACGGGCCAGACUCCUACGGGAGGCAGCAGUGAGGAAUAUUGCGCAAUGGGGGAAACCCUGACGCAGCGACGCCGCGUGAGUGAGGAAGGCCUUCGGGUCGUAAAGCUCUGUCAAGAGGAAAGAAGUGUACAAUGGCUAAUACCUGUUGUAUUUGACGGUACCUCUAAAGGAAGCACCGGCUAACUCCGUGCCAGCCGCCGC